GAUUGAGCCUCUUAUUCUUGUAGCAGCUGGAAUGUCCAUGACAGUGAGGGUUAGUGAAGAAGACCUAUUGCUGGAGUCCGACCGCCUCUUUGUAAUCAGCAGCCCUGCUCUGCAUUAAAGGCAUAAUGAAAAAAAAAGAAGAAGAAGAAGAAAAAAAACGGAAAAAGCAUAUUACCUGAAACAUUGGAAGGGGCUUGUGCUCACUCUGCUGAGUUAUGGAUGGACAUAUUGAAGCGUGAUUUCCUGGAGAGAGUGUUGACUGGAAGGAAGUCUGGUGCAUUGGUUCUGGCUCUGGGCCCAGCACAAGGCCAAAGGCGGGUCCCACCCUCCCUGGACUGCAGCUUCCUCAUCAGAACAGUAAGAAGCUCGAAUGCAGAAUGUCUUUAAAGGAACUCUCGAAGGCAGGCGGACCAGCCCUGCUCCAGGAAGUCACUCAGGGACCCAGGCUGGUGGAGUGGCUCUGCCAACCUUAAAAGGUACUUUCCAGAUGGCUCCAGUCAUUCCUGUUUCCAGCCAGUAAGAAGAAAGGAGGGAACACA